AAGUGCUAAAGAGUCUCUUUAUCAGAGUUGCUACAGCACAUACCCCUGAAGGUCUGGGCAGCGGACGGUGUCUAAGGAGGGACAUACACCCACAUGCACUGGCCACUCCUCUCCAUGCUGCACAGCAUCACAAAGCAAGCGCCCAGCAGCCCAGCAUGCACUUUGCAGGAGCCGCCCUCCCCUCCUCCCACAGGAUCUCAAAGGCCAUCCUGAACUUUUGACUCUCCUGUCUCGGCCUUGAAGUACUUAAGAUUACAGGCAGGCACUACCACGUUCAGUUUCUCUGGUGCUGGGGCUAAGGUACCCUAGCAGGACAUCUCUAAAAUGCUAAAACUCAAGUUGGCUUUUAUUCUAUAGCCAGUGAAAAUCAGUUUAAAAAUGAAGGUGACAUCAAGCACCUGGGAGCUGUAAAGCAGAGGGGCCUGGAUCCUAGCAGGUCCCCAGCCAUGGAAGCACUAAGGAAGCCCUCAGGCCCGGGGACUGCCCCAGCAAGAGCCCGGAUGAGAGAGAAAGAAGCGCACAAGAAGAGCAAGUACUCGGGAAAAUAUCUAAGACCACUCUUUGCUAAAAUUCUUCAAAGCAAGGCCACUGUGUGUGUGUACAUGGUUUGGUUCAUCUGUCUGUGUGCCAGAGGCCGAUGCAGGGAGGCUCUGCCUUAUCUGUUCAGCCAGAGCUGUUCCCCGAGCUCGCAUUUUUGUUUGGUUGGCCUGUGACCUCCUAGGAUCCCUUCCUUCUACGUGGUGCGGAGGAUCUCAACUCAGGUCAGGCUUGUCACAGGCCCUUUUCCAUGGAGGCCAUUUUUAAGACUUUCAGAGACUUUAAAGUUUGAUGUGAUUCUGUAAUUUUCAUAAAUCUAAAGUAAAUGUAAGACACUCAAAGUUCUGAUAACCCAUGGAAAAUUAUUUCAGUGCUUUAAAAUUUUAAUUUGAAAAAAAAAAAUGUUUCUCUGAACUUUGGAUGCCUGUCACUAGUGUCAAACUGUACACAGAGCUGUUAAAAAACGGUGGUGUUUAUUUGGGACUAAGCAGGAAGCACUGUAGUGUGAAUACGUGUGCCAAGGGAACCACGGCACCCAGAGUGGCUUUCCCAUAAUGGCAGUGCCACUAGCAAUUCCAUAAGUUCAGGCUGGACACUGACCUGGGAACGAGAAGGAUUGCUAGUGGAUAAACAAGUGUAAAGUCGGCAUUCCUCGGAAAUGUGGGAAGUGGGCUUCUGUCAGGAAAAGCCAUUCCUUUUCCUUAUGUGCCCCUAUAGCCUCCAACUCCCAGGCUUUGGGCAUCUAGUUCCCUAUUAACACACACCUGUAACACAUAUCAAAGUCACCCCCCCCCCACAGCUCCCGGGCUCUUCUGCAUAGCAGUACCCCUUUGCCCCCCGCUAUUCCAGCUUCCAUGCUUCCUCCCUUUGCAAACCUCUUUAAAACUGGCAAGCCUUUCCUUGUCUUUGCUAUUCUAGUCUCUGUCCCACAAGAGAUAGCCUUGGCAGUCUGAGUAAAUAUGUCUAUCCACAGAGUGGUCUUAUUUGUGGUCUCACUGUACCCUUGCUCACAGGGAGCAUCUAAAGGCAACAAAGAAGACAUAUUCAUUCAAAACAAUCCUGGCUCCAAGGACUAAUAACAAAAGGGUGUCUGUCUAAGGACUAACGUUAAGGGUGGACCCAGUCCAGUGCUGACUGGACAGUGCUGGGCAGAUAUCCUCACACAAGUCUGUGUGAGGCUGCACUUCAAGGUAUCCAUUUGUGGGAGUUCUUGAUAACAGGUGCUCAUGCGCAAAUUCCCCUUCUUUAAAAAUUUCUACUUUAUCAUUAACAUUGCCGGAGCAAGACAUGGCAACUCCACUUUGGUAAGUUUCACACUAGUGCUUAACCACACAGGCAAUCUAACCAGCACCAGCAGGCUUCCAGCCAAAAUCUGUCUCCUGGGGUUUCUUGGCCUGGAACCUCCCAGUGCUGAAACUGGGAAAACUGUGAUGACACUGGCUCUCCUAACUGGGACCCAGACUGAAGUCCUAAGGACAGAAGUGGCCCCAAGGGCAGCUGUGCUAUGGGCAAGCCAAGGAAAGGCAAGAACUGCAUAAAGCUCAUCUUCCUGAAACGCAGGGUGCCCUUUAAGGGAAGGGAGAUUUUCAUCUCUUCCUUUUCCCAUCCCACACUGUGUCUAGAAAAGACCAAGACAGUCUGUCCCUGGGGGAGGAACCACGUCACAAAGGCACAAAUACAGAAACAGGAACAUCGUUUUGGCUGGCAGUUUUGUCUCAGUGGCUUAUGGAACUCUUCCUGAGGAGCAUGACUCGCUGACCCUUCACCCACUUGGCUGGCCCAGAGGGUGGCAGGGCGAUGGACUCAACUGUGCCUACUUAAUUCUCACCCUCACCCGUUAACCACCCAUUAUUAGCUCGGCAUUACUUAGAACAAAACUGAGACUCAGUAAGGUCAAGCCACAGGCCUAAGAUCCUUUGCUUACUCACUAGCAGGCCCAGUGUUUAGUUCCAUGGAUGCUGUAUUUCAAGCUCAUGCUCAGUGCCCGGGCACAGCCCCCAAAGCCUAGUGCAAAUGUCUUAGCCAUGUGUGUGCCCUGUCAGAAGAGGUAAGAGGACAGAGGUGAAGCAGAGGCGGAAUAAGACCACGACAGGAUCCCUGAGGGAGCAGCAUCUCUGCCUCUGGAAGCAAUCUAGGGAGACAGGUAGGACCUCAGAUCAAACUAUCCUCCAAACAUGUUUUGGAAACACACUGGGGAGGCUGGAGAGGGGGUUAGAAAGCCAGUGAAUGGUUCAGACGUCUCAAGGCUUCUCUUGAGAACCAUCAGAAGGCCCAGGGCAGGAGUUUUAUGACACCUGGAGGCCCAGUCUCAUAAGUAAAGCAAAGCAAAACAACACACACACACACACACACACACACACACACACACACACACACACACACACACACACACACGAGUGAGCGAACUCUUAACUCCCUGAGGGUCUUCAUGUGUAGAUACACUAAUGCCUUGAGGAUGUGAACAGGAAGCUCUGAGCCUCAGUUGCUCUGAGCCUGCAUAGUUGUGGUUUCAAAAUUGUGUUUCCCCAAAAGUCUCAUGUGCUGGAGGUUGGAGUCCCUUGCUGGUAGCACGAUUUUGGUAGAUUCUGAAAGUUUCAGGAGGAGGGGCCUGGCUUGAGGGAGUAAAUGAGCCUUGGGUUACAUUCAGCUCACUGGUCCUUCCCUGUUUACCUGUUUCUGACUGCUGUAAGGUGGGCAGCUUCCAACACAUCUGUGCAGCCAAGGACUACGGACUCUACAGACUACAAUCUCUGAAGUAAGCCUUUUCCCCUUUAAGCUGCUUCUGUCUGGUAGCCUGCCACAGCGCCAACUCAGACAUACCCAUUUACUGUAUGGAGACAAUCACCUGGCUAUCCCAUCCAGUUGCUCGGAGUUAAAACAGUCUGUGUACGGUACUUAGAAUAAUGUCUAAGUGAAGGAAGCAUUGAACAGGAGCAAUCAACAGUGAACAGCAAACACAUUUUGUUUAUAAUCUAUAUUUGUCUCUGAAAAAAGGUUUUGAGAGCUCUGAGACGCCCGCUCUGUCACCUACACACCAGUCCCCGGCUCCUUUCUCUACACUAGUGAUGCUCUCUUUCAUUUAAACGUGGCACUCUACAUAUUUGUUCUAAAUUAGGUCAUGCCUUCCCCAGAGGGCAUCCAAUGAGGUAAAGCAUUCAAGUGACCCUGAGGACAUGGCAAUGUAGCCUGGGGUAGGGUCACCAGUAUGGCUGGAACUUGAACAGCUAGCUCCUUCUCUCUUUAAAGAAGGAUGAGCUCGCAUAGUCAUGGUCCCCUAGGGAUGCACCUCUUAUCUGUGGUGUCCUCUGCUGUGGGUCCCUGCUUGCUUGGCUGUGGACUCUUGCUCCUAUGCUUCUGUGUUGCUUUCCCUUCCAUGCCAGUCUUAGCUGACAAGGCUCUGGCUGUCCUCAUGUUGUCCGGGCUCCUUGCCCAGUGAGGGACCCACAGGAUAUUUUCCAGGCAAGCAUAAAGGGUAACCACUAGAGCAUCUUCUCCAGGGAUUGCCCAGAGCAGCCUUUGUGCUGCAUGCUUUUAGGGAAGAGAUGCUGAUGUACGAAGGAGACCAGUGGCUGCUCUUACCUGGUCAGUUGUGGCUGCUGGUGGCAAACCUGGAGAGUGUGAGAUCAUGCGGAGAGAGGCCUCCAGUUGUUGGGGAGGCAAAAAGAAGUUGGGCACCACAACAGGUUCUGGGCUGCAAUGGUAGUUAAGGAAUAAAAUACCUAGAAGUCUACUCUCCUACCAGACCAACACCCCAGGGACCACAGUCAUACCAUCUGUGUCUCCCUCAUCCUACUUCCCACAUCCAUGAAUCCCUGGCACAAGUGGUUCCUCCUGGUUCCUCCCUCACUGGAAGACCCUGCCCACUUCUAACCCAUCUUUCCUCCUUCCUUUCCCUCUCUUUCUUUAGUCUCUACUGUAAUGAGUUCAACAUCCCAACCUCCUCCAGGAAGACUUUUCCUAUCUUAGUCACACGGUCCCCCUUUCUUUAAUUCUGAAAGUAGUCUGUGACACAGGAGAAUGUUCAAUUAUUAAAACAUUUUUUUCAAAUUAUC
rnacentral:lncRNA from 1 species